GGAGACAUAUGACACAGUACACGAAUAUUGACAGUCCGUUAUCACUUUGGUGUAGUGAGGAAAGUCCUCAGCUGCGGUUACGAAACAACUGAAGAGGAGGCCAUUGUAACAUUUUAUGCCGUGCCACAGCUGCGGACUGUGAUCCUGGACAAGGAUAUUUCACCCAGGGUAUUGGAGACUCUGUCCUCUGGCUGUCCGCACCUCACCACUCUGCAAGCAACUUAUCUGCAGGUGCUGACUUACUUGAGGUGAAUGGAGACAUGUGCGGUACAAGUACUCAGCAAGAUGCGACAGUGAGUAAACAUCUUUACCUGCUGUGGGCGGGGCAUUUUACGUUUUGACGUCGCAGCUCAGCAGUGUCUCGACUGUUGAGGAGCAGACAUCCACUAUGAGAAUGAAAACAGCAAUGAACAAAGUUAGCUCUAAAAUGAAAUGCCUCUCGCUUAUUGUCACGCCUUUGAGGUGUAUGUUGUAUUUA